rnacentral:sRNA from 1 species
AUGAGCCACUUGAGGGGAAGGUGAAAACCUUCGACGAAGGUUCGAGCCGAGCGUAGUGAGUCAACGACGCGCAGCGGCGGCCCGAAGGGUGAGGAAUGAAGUGACGAAUAAUCCUUCCCCCACCACCA